AUUGAACGCUGGCGGCAGGCCUAACACAUGCAAGUCGAGCGAGCGGCGGGAGGGUGAGGAAUGUAUGGGGGCUGCCCGAUAGAGAGGGAUAGCUACUGGAAACGGUAGCUAAGACCGCAUACUAUCGGAUAACCCAUAUGGGAUUAGCUAGUAGGUGAGGUAAUGGCUAACCGAGGCGACGAGCCCUAGCUGGUAUGAGAGGAUGAUCAGCCACACUGGAACUGAGACACGGCCCAGACUCCUACGGAGGCAGCAGUGGGGAAUAUUGCACUAUGGGCGAAAGCCUGAUGCAGCCAUGCCGCGUGUAUGAAGAAGGUCCUAGGGUUGUAAAGUACUUUCAGUCGGGAGGCGUUACCGACAGAAGAAGCACCGGCUAACUCCGUGCCAGCAGCAGCGGUAAUUC
rnacentral:rRNA from 1 species